ensembl:lncRNA LINC00608 long intergenic non-protein coding RNA 608
AGUGCCUUCAGUGGCAUCAUUGCACUGUGACUGUGCAGGUCCCAAACAGUAUGGACAUGAAUGUCCUCAAGCUGCAUGUUAGCAGGGCUUCUAAUUCCAUCUGCAAGUGAUAGUGUGUGGAGCUUAGUUGCACAGAGCGCAUGUUACUGGAGGAGAUAUGGGUCUGUGUCAUCCUGCAUGGGAAUGAUCCUAAAAACAAAGUGAUCAGUGACUGCUCAGGACUGUGGAAAGGUCACUUGGAGCAGUGGGAAAAGGUCUGGCAGAGGAAUAAGAAGAUACAGGUCUUAGAACAAGCCCUGGGACUUCAACCAAGUCAUUUAACAUCUGGGGCCUUCGUUUAUUUAUCCUCCCAGCAGAUAAAGCAAUACCUGCCCUGUCUUCCUAACCUUGGAGGGGUCAAAAAAGUGAUGGGUGUGAAAGCAUUUUGUAAACUGUAGUGCAAGCAUACGGCAGGGGAGUGAACCAUACUUUCACUAGCGACUUGAAUGAGGUGAUAAAGAAAAGGCUCAGAACUUCAGAAAAUGCAAGAGGGGCUUGACCCUGGAUUGGCAGAGGAAAGCAAUGGUGGGAUCGAUACCUUGGAGAGCCAAGGACCAAGGGGUUAAGGGUCCAUGAGGACAGGCCUGGAUCAUCAGGAAGCUGAGUGUGGUAAGACUGUGGCUUCUUCAGGGAUUGGGUGGAGUACAGUCCUGCCAAGACCACAGUAACUCAGGGCUUGGAGACAUCACAAAGGCAGGGGCUCCUAGAGCUGAGAUAAUCUGGAGAAGAGGAUACCCAUCUACUGCAUUCUGAGAUUGGGUUCGACCUGUAGGUCAUCUUGGAUAGACGUUUUCCAGCUCUUCUUUUUUUUUUUUUUUGGAACAGAGAGAACCUAAUUGACCCUUAAAGUUCCACAGAGCAGAGUUUGCAAAUCUCUGGUUCAGCCUUAUUAUUUAAAUGAGAGGAGAAUGAAAUCCCAGAAAAGAGAUGUGAUUAUGUGAAGGUCACACAGCAAGUUAGUUGCCAAGCUGCAACUGGAACUCAGAAUUUCUGGUUCCCAGUUCUAUAUCUUAGCCUCCCAAACUGGCUAUGUGGACAGGAAAGAACAGAGUAAUGGGGUGAGCUUUAAGGAUGCAAUUUCAUAGGUAAGAAGAUCCCUUAAUCUAACAAUAUCUCCCCCAGCUCCCCAACAAUGACUAAAAUCCCCCCUUUAUUGACUCCUUCACAGGAUUCCAAGAGUCUCAAGGUUAGAGAAGUCGCCUAGUCCACCUCCCCUCUCUGCUUCUCACAGAAGGGUCUGCUGAACACUCUGGUGACAGAGAACUCACCCAACAUGUUCCAUGGCAGAGGCUUUUCAUUAGAUCAAGGUGACAUCUGUUUUACUGGAGCUUCCAACCACGUGUCCCAAUACUGCCCUUAGUCACAGGCAUCCAGGUCCUCUCUCUCAGGACAGCACUUUGAAUAAAUGAGGACAGCUCCCAUCCCCCUUUCUCCCAGUUGACUUUCCAGAAACAUCUCAUAUUGUUGUUGGCUUUCCACCAUUUUUCCUCUUCACUUCCUGGGCCUACUACUACACUGUGUGUCCUCCACUUGGUCUCUUCCUGAAAGCAACACUGUGCACAAUGUUCCUGGGGGCAGACUUAUUAAACCAAGUGGACCACUUCCUUCA